rnacentral:rRNA from 1 species
UGGGGAAUCUUGCACAAUGGAGGAAACUCUGAUGCAGCGACGCCGCGUGAGUGAUGAAGCCCUUCGGGGUGUAAAGCUCUUUCGACCCGGAAGAUAAUGACGGUACGGGGAGAAGAAGCUGCGGCUAACUACGUGCCAGCAGCCGCGGUAAUACGUAGGCAGCGAGCGUUGUUCGGAGUUACUGGGCGUAAAGCGUGCGUAGGCGGUGUCUUAAGUUUGUUGUGAAAUCUCCCGGCUUAACCGGGAGGGUGCGGCGAAUACUGAGAUGCUGGAGUGCCGGAGAGGUAAGCGGAAUUCCUGGUGUAGCGGUGAAAUGCGUAGAUAUCAGGAGGAACACCUGCGGUGUAGACGGCUUACUGGACGGUAACUGACGCUGAGGCACGAAAGCGUGGGUAGCAAAC